AGUCGAGCGAGGCCCACUCUUCGGGGUGGUGCCCUAGCGGCGAACGGGUGAGUAACACGUGGGCAACCUGCCCUCAGCUCUGGGAUAACUCCAAGAAAUUGGUGCUAAUACCGGAUGUGACCGCUGACCGCAUGGUCUGGUGGUGGAAAGAUUCAUCGGCUGAGGAUGGGCCCGCGGCCUAUCAGCUUGUUGGUGGGGUAAUGGCCCACCAAGGCGACGACGGGUAGCCGGCCUGAGAGGGUGACCGGCCACACUGGGACUGAGACACGGCCCAGACUCCUACGGGAGGCAGCAGUGGGGAAUAUUGCGCAAUGGGCGAAAGCCUGACGCAGCGACGCCGCGUGAGGGAUGACGGCCUUCGGGUUGUAAACCUCUUUCAGUAGGGACGAAGCGAAAGUGACGGUACCUACAGAAGAAGCACCGGCCAACUACGUGCCAGCAGCCGCGGUAAUACGUAGGGUGCAAGCGUUGUCCGGAAUUAUUGGGCGUAAAGAGCUCGUAGGCGGUCUGUCGCGUCGGCUGUGAAAACCCGAGGCUCAACCUCGGGCCUGCAGUCGAUACGGGCAAACUAGAGUACUGCAGGGGAGACUGGAAUUCCUGGUGUAGCGGUGAAAUGC
rnacentral:rRNA from 1 species